AUUGAACGCUGGCGGCAGGCCUAACACAUGCAAGUCGAGCGGAUGAAGGGAGCUUGCCCCUGGAUUCAGCGGCGGACGGGUGAGUAAUGCCUAGGAAUCUGCCUGGUAGUGGGGGAUAACGUCCGGAAACGGGCGCUAAUACCGCAUACGUCCUGAGGGAGAAAGUGGGGGAUCUUCGGACCUCACGCUAUCAGAUGAGCCUAGGUUGGAUUAGCUAGUUGGUGGGGUAAAGGCCUACCAAGGCGACGAUCCGUAACUGGUCUGAGAGGAUGAUCAGUCACACUGGAACUGAGACACGGUCCAGACUCCUACGGGAGGCAGCAGUGGGGAAUAUUGGACAAUGGGCGAAAGCCUGAUCCAGCCAUGCCGCGUGUGUGAAGAAGGUCUUCGGAUUGUAAAGCACUUUAAGUUGGGAGGAAGGGCAGUAAGUUAGUACCUUGCUGUUUUGACGUUACCAACAGAAUAAGCACCGGCUAACUUCGUG
rnacentral:rRNA from 1 species